UCACGCUUCUCUUUAUAUAGCUCUAACCAAACGGCAAUAAAGUUGUUCUUCACCCGACUGCCGGCCUCGCUACAUGGUGGCAGCGAAACCCAGCGGAUGCGUCGAUGGCGUCCGCACUACUACCGCCCCCGAAGCCCAUGGAGAUGUCACAGGACCCUUGGGUUGCCUGGAAAACUUGGAAAAGUGAGUUUCUGCUCUUUUCCACCGCUACAAGAUUGAACGAUCAGCCAAAGGAUGUUCAAGCAGCCACGUUGCUAGUCACCAUAGGCGAAGAAGCUCGAAAGGCAUACAGUACCUUCAAGUUCGAGGAGGCGGAAGACAGAAAUGAUGUUGAAGUUCUAAUUAAGAAAUUUGAGGAGCACUACAGGCCCGCAACCAACUUAACAUUUCAAGAAUUUCUAUUUGGUUCAAGAAACCAAAAGGCAGGCGAAACGUUUAACGAGUGGCUAACAGAACUGCGUGUGUUAGCGAAGAACUUUGAAUUUGGGAAUCUUGAAGACCGCAUGUUGCGCAGCCGAAUCAUUUUGGGCACAACGGAUAAGAGCCUGCAGCAAAGGCUGAUAGCCGAAAACCCGACGUACGAAAAGACUGUCGACAUAUGCCGUGCGCAUGAACAAGGCAAAGAGCAUUUUCGAGAGAUAAGUGGAGCAACAGGAUCCAGUGAAGGCACCUUUGUAAACGCAGUCGCAAGAGAAAAAAAUGUUUGCUACAAAUGUGGGGCUCAAAUGCAUCGCAGUGACAUGUGUCCAGCAAGAGGAAAAACCUGCCGAAAGUGCGGACGGCUGAACCAUUUCGCUAGAGUAUGCAGGUCACCGCGGAACGUCAGCCAACAAAUGCGAGAGCUCCGAGCAGAAGACACAGAUUUUUUUUUACAAACGUUGACUGUCGGUGCAAUAGCUACUGAUGACUGGAGCGCAACUGUGUACAUUGAGGGCCAUCCCAUCACAUGCAAGCUAGAUACUGGCGCCAACUGUUGUGUCAUUUCAAGAAGCGAUGUUGCAAAACUGCCAGAUAAACGUCAGCAAGCUUGCAAUGUUAAGCUCACAGCAUUUUUUGGGCACACAACAGCCGCGCAUGCGCAAGUUCACUUGACACUUUCGGCCAAUGCCAGAACCAAAGAACAAAUGUUUUUUUAUUGUCGAAGAAGACGUCCCUGCCACUUUGAGUGGUGCAGCAGCUGAAAGUCUUGGCUUCAUCUACCGUAUGCGAGACAUACAGCAAGAACUGUACCCGCCAGUGCAACCUUUUGCAGACGUCUUCGAAGGACUCGGGCAGCUAAAAGACUUCGAGUACGACAUGAAGCUCAAGCCAGGCGCAGUGGGCGUCGUCGUUCCAGCGAGGAGAGCCCCCGUGGCUCUUCAGGACAAGGUCAAGGCCGAGCUGCAGCGCAUGGAAACCCAAGGCGUCAUAACAAAGCCUGAAGUCCGCUACCUCGGGCACAUUCUUAGCACUGAAGGCCUCCGCCUGGACCCAGGUCGAGUGAAGGACAUACUGGAAAUGGAAGAGCCAAAGAAUUCUUCGCAGCAGCGCCUGAGGGACCUUCGUGCGGCAACGAAUGACGAUCCUGCCCUGGUCAAGCUUCGAGGUUACGCCGAAACAAGCUGGCCUGAAAAGAGCGAGGUGCCCGAAAGUGUUCGUCAGUACUGGUCCUACAAAGAGGAACUGCACACACAGGAUGGUCUUGUUUUUCGCAGCAACAAGAGACUCAUGGGACGGCAGACCAGGACCCUAUUGCCUGUACCAACCAGCCACCUGGAACCAGAGGCAGUUCCAAGCAAAGCCGUUCACAGCAGGCUCCG
rnacentral:misc_RNA from 1 species